rnacentral:rRNA from 1 species
GAUGAACGCUGGCGGCGUGCCUAAUACAUGCAAGUCGAGCGAACAGAUGAGGAGCUUGCUCCUCUGACGUUAGCGGCGGACGGGUGAGUAACACGUGGAUAACCUACCUAUAAGACUGGGAUAACUUCGGGAAACCGGAGCUAAUACCGGAUAAUAUAUUGAACCGCAUGGUUCAAUAGUGAAAGACGGUUUUGCUGUCACUUAUAGAUGGAUCCGCGCCGCAUUAGCUAGUUGGUAAGGUAACGGCUUACCAAGGCAACGAUGCGUAGCCGACCUGAGAGGGAGAUCGGCCACACUGGAACUGAGACACGGUCCAGACUCCUACGGGAGGCAGCAGUAGGGAAUCUUCCGCAAUGGGCGAAAGCGUGACGGAGCAACGCCGCGUGAGUGAUGAAGGUCUUCGGAUCGUAAAACUCUGUUAUUAGGGAAGAACAAAUGUGUAAGUAACUAUGCACGUCUUGACGGUACCUAAUCAGAAAGCCACGGCUAACUACGUG